rnacentral:rRNA from 1 species
ACUCCUACGGGAGGCAGCAGUGGGUAAUUUUGGACAAUGGGGGAAACCCUGAUCCAGCCCUCCCGGGUGUGCGAUGAAGGCCUUCGGGUUGUAAAGCACUUUUGGCAGGAAAGAAACGUCAUGGGUUAACACCCCGGAAACUGACGUACCGCAGAUAG